rnacentral:lncRNA from 1 species
GAGAAGAAUGCCAUACCCUUAGAUCAAAGACUAUGGAAAUUAAAAACUUGUCAACUCUUGCUGGCAUAUUGCUUAUUAGAGGGACCAUGGGCUAUCGUUUCUUUCUCUUUUUUUUCUCUCUCUCUUUUUUUUCAGGUGGAUACCGAGGUACCCCUAAUUCUACUGCCAGACACUUCUCUAUUUUUUCUGCGAGGUUAUCGAACACUUGCUCCUUUUUGUUUCCUCGAAAUAUCCUUAUUUUUGCAUAGCCCAUGCCUCUAACGCAAUAAUACUUCGAAAGAUUGAAUCUUUCUGAAUAAAUGUCUUGAUCUUAGGAGCAUGAUAAAUCUCUCAACAAGGGUCUAACUCAUUUUAAACAAACUCAAUACAGAGUAGAUAGCUUUUAUAAUCAUAAUUAAUAUUUUCAGUUAUAUCAGGCAUAUAAAACACUGAGGAUGGUAGCUAUAAUUUUUGAAUAAAUUCUCCAAGCAACAAUGAUAUCAAAAAUAAGGUACUCAUACUCUACCAUCUUACAUUCCACAAUGGCUUAAGUAACAUAGGGUUUUACAAUGAUUAUACAAUAAUUGCAUGUUUUCAAGAAAUAUCACAGAGUGAGAUUAAUCAAGAUUAGAAACAUUUUAAUCUUUUUAAUUUAUCAUGUCGGAGACAAUACUCUCCAUAAUACCAAAUAUAUGUGUAUGUGUAAAGUGUGUAGAGUAUGUACCUGAAUUGUGGAGUGGUGUAGUCGAAGUGUGUUUGGCGUGUCGAGGGAUCUCCCCCAUACUUGUUUUCUGCUUUGUUGCAU